rnacentral:tRNA from 1 species
GCCCGGAUGGUGAAAUUGGUAGACACAAGGGACUUAAAAUCCCUCGGCCUUCGGCUGUGCGGGUUCGAGCCCCGCUCCGGGCACCA